rnacentral:rRNA from 1 species
AUACGUAGGGGGCGAGUGUUGUCCGGAAUGACUGGGCGUAAAGGGCGUGUAGGCGGCGCUGUAAGUCUGGAGUGAAAGUCCCGUUUUCAAGGCGGGAACUGCUUUGGGUACUGCAGAGCUUGAGUGCGGAAGAGGGAAGUGGAAUUCCCAGUGUAGGGGGGAAAUGCGUAGAGAUUGGGAGGAACACCAGUGGCGAAGGCGACUUACUGGGCCGUAACUGACGCUGAGGCGCGAAAGCGUGGGGAGCGAACAGGAUUAGAUACCCUGGUAGUCCACGCGGUAAACGAUGAAUGCUAGGUGUUGCGGGUAUCGACCCCUGCAGUGCCGGAGUAAACACAAUAAGCAUUCCGCCUGGGGAGUACGGCCGCAAGGUUGAAACUCAAAGGAAUUGACGGGG